UGGGGAAUAUUGGACAAUGGGCGAGAGCCUGAUCCAGCCAUGCCGCGUGUGUGAAGAAGGCCUUUUGGUUGUAAAGCACUUUAAGUGGGGAGGAAAAGCUUAUGGUUAAUACCCAUAAGCCCUGACGUUACCCACAGAAUAAGCACCGGCUAACUCUGUGCCAGCAGCCGCGGUAAUACAGAGGGUGCAAGCGUUAAUCGGAAUUACUGGGCGUAAAGCGCGCGUAGGUGGUUAUUUAAGUCAGAUGUGAAAGCCCCGGGCUUAACCUGGGAACUGCAUCUGAUACUGGAUAACUAGAGUAGGUGAGAGGGGAGUAGAAUUCCAGGUGUAGCGGUGAAAUGCGUAGAGAUCUGGAGGAAUACCGAUGGCGAAGGCAGCUCCCUGGCAUCAUACUGACACUGAGGUGCGAAAGCGUGGGUAGCAAACAGGAUUAGAUACCCUGGUAGUCCACGCCGUAAACGAUGUCUACCAGUCGUUGGGUCUUUUAAAGACUUAGUGACGCAGUUAACGCAAUAAGUAGACCGCCUGGGGAGUACGGCCGCAAGGUUA
rnacentral:rRNA from 1 species